rnacentral:rRNA from 1 species
AUUGAACGCUGGCGGCAGGCCUCACACAUGCAAGUCGAGCGAGCGGCGGACGGGUGAGUAAUGUUUGGGAAACUGUCUGUUGGAGGGGGAUAACUCCUGGAAACGGUAGCUAAUACCGCAUACCCUCAGAUGUGCCCCGAUGGGAUUAGCUGGUAGGUGGGGGAACGGCUCACCUAGACGACGAUCCCUAGCUGGUCUGCGAGGAUGACCAGCCACACUGGAACGGAGACACGGGCCAGACUCCUACGGGAGGCAGCAGUGGUGAAGAUUGCACAAUGGGCGCAAGCCUGAUGCAGCCAUGCCGCGUGAAUGAAGAAGGCCUUCGGGUUGUAAAGUACUUUCAGCGGGGAGGCGUUACCCGCAGAAGAAGCACCGGCUAACUCCGUGCCAGCAGCCGCGGUAAUUC